rnacentral:lncRNA from 1 species
ACGGAGUGGCCGUACUAUUACAUUCUUGACAGUUUUCUGCGGAAGACGCCUUACUACGCGGAAAAAUUAACCACGAAUAUCCCACUGCCACAAGAUGGAUGCUCUGGGAGAACACCUAUGUUCACUUCAGAUGAUGAAGAGAGCUGUGGCUUGCUCAGUCCAACCCCGACUGAGGCUGCAGCAUCUUCCGGGUGAGCUUGUCUCAAGGAAUUUUACAUUGUAUCUCUCUUAACAGAUGAUAUUUUUCUUUUCAUGCGUCAUCAAGGUCCAACAGUGGCGCAAACAGAGCCCAGCCGCCAGCGCAGCCUUCCCAAGUGCGACUUUCCUCGGCACCACAGUAUCGGUAGCUCUGCUGUUCAUUUUUCCUGCAAAACAUUUUAUGAGUUUGUAACUCCCCAUGAAAACUGCGGCAUUGUCAUUACAGUAAAAGAAGAAAGAAUGACACGUUUGAAGAAGCCGUACAGGAAGCACUGGGUAGCUGCAGCAGCACACUGAGCAGGAUUGAGAGUACUAGGAAGCUUGGAGUACCUAGUACCGAAAGCCCACCAGACGAAUGCCAGCAGGCGGCCAACUGGAUGGCCACAAAGCUGCGAAAGUUUCCGGCAAGGAAACGCUCGGAGAUACUAUUUAAGAUCCAUUCACUUAUUUUUGAGGCCGAAAUGGAGCUGCCCGAAUGAAUACCGUGCUAUAUUCCGGCAAUAAAGAAU